CAAUAGCGUAUAUUAAAGUUGUUGCAGUUAAAAAGCUCGUAGUUGAAUUUUUGCUUGCCGCCGAUGUCGGAACUUCCGUACGUUCGGCGGCGUGCAUCCUUGGGUGGAACCUGUGUGGCAUUAGGUUGUCGUGCAGGGGAUGCUCAUCGUUUACUGUGAAAAAAUUAGAGUGUUCAAAGCAGGCUCACGCCGUUGAAUAUAUUAGCAUGGAAUAAUAAGAUAGGACCUUGGUACUAUUUUGUUGGUUUGCGCACCGAGGUAAUGAUUAACAGGGACAGUUGGGGGUAUUCGUAUUCCAUUGUCAGAGGUGAAAUUCUUGGAUUUCUGGAAGACGAACUACUGCGAAAGCAUUUACCAAGGAUGUAUUCAUUAA
rnacentral:rRNA from 1 species